AACUGCUCCACCACCAGUUAAAGAUCGUCAUUGUGUCAUUGUUAUUUCCCAUUAUUUUCCAUCAGUCCAUGAAUAUUAGUGUUUUUAAUAUUUUACAGCUGUUGUAGAGAUACUCUACUUAUGGAAAUGUAUCUGUGUCACAUGUUCCCUUUUUAAACCUGCAGAGGGAGGUCUAUGCAAACUCUUCCUCUCUUAUAAACACACCAUCAGCAACUGGUGGCAGAACUCUGGAACAGUUUUAUAUAUUUCUGAAACACUCAGAUCAGAAAGCUCUGAACUAGAGCGUUUAUCCCAGAAAUGGGAAAUACAAUUAUCUGGAGUUUAUUAUUUGUAGUUGCUAUUCAUGGAGUCUGGAGUGAGAUCAAACUGGACCAGUCUCCCUCUGAGGUGAAAAGACCUGGAGAGACAGUGAAGAUGUCCUGUAUCAUAUCUGGCUUUGACAUGACCAGCACCUAUAUUCACUGGAUACGACAGAGACCAGGAGAAGCUCUGGAGUGGAUCGGGAGGAUGAAUGCAGGUUCAAACUCUGCUAUCUAUGCCAGCUCCUUUCAAAGCCGUUUCAUCAUGACUGAAGAUGUGGCCAGCAGCACUCAGUACCUCGAGGUCAAGAGCCUGACAGCACAAGACUCUGCUGUUUACUUCUGUGCUCGACACACAGUGACUGAAGACAGUGGAGCAGCUGCACUAAAACCUCCACAGACAACAAACUGCAGUGAUCUUAAUAACAUCUGGGUUCUCUCACCACCUGCUAAAACACGCUGA